rnacentral:rRNA from 1 species
GACGAACGCUGGCGGCGUGCUUAACACAUGCAAGUCGAACGGAAAGGCCCUGCUUUUGUGGGGUGCUCGAGUGGCGAACGGGUGAGUAACACGUGAGUAACCUGCCCUUGACUUUGGGAUAACUUCAGGAAACUGGGGCUAAUACCGGAUAGGAGCUCCUGCUGCAUGGUGGGGGUUGGAAAGUUUCGGCGGUUGGGGAUGGACUCGCGGCUUAUCAGCUUGUUGGUGGGGUAGUGGCUUACCACGGCGUUGACGGGUAGCCGGCCUGAGAGGGUGACCGGCCACAUUGGGACUGAGAUACGGCCCAGACUCCUACGGGAGGCAGCAGUGGGGAAUAUUGCACAAUGGGCGGAAGCCUGAUGCAGCAACGCCGCGUGCGGGAUGACGGCCUUCGGGGUGUAAACCGCUUUCGCCUGUGACGAAGCGUGAGUGACAGUAAUGGGUAAAGAAGCACCGGCUAACUACGUG